rnacentral:rRNA from 1 species
GACGAACGCUGGCGGCGUGCUUAACACAUGCAAGUCGAACGGAAAGGCCCUGCUUUUGUGGGGUGCUCGAGUGGCGAACGGGUGAGUAACACGUGAGUAACCUGCCCUUGACUUUGGGAUAACUUCAGGAAACUGGGGCUAAUACCGGAUAGGAGCUCCUGCUGCAUGGUGGGGGUUGGAAAGUUUCGGCGGUUGGGGAUGGACUCUCGGCUUAUCAGCUUGUUGGUGGGGUAGUGGCUUACCAAGGCUUUGACGGGUAGCCGGCCUGAGAGGGUGACCGGCCACAUUGGGACUGAGGUACGGCCCAGACUCCUACGGGAGGCAGCAGUGGGGAAUAUUGCACAAUGGGCGGAAGCCUGAUGCAGCAACGCCGCGUGCGGGAUGACGGCCUUCGGGUUGUAAACCGCUUUCGCCUGUGACGAAGCGUGAGUGACGGUAAUGGGUAAAGAAGCACCGGCUAACUACGUG